CAGGCAUGCCUCAGUACGGCGAGUGAGCGGCAAGAGCUCAAAUUUGAAAUCUGGCCCCCUCGGGGUCCGAGUUGUAAUUUGCAGAGGAUGCUUCGGGUGCGGCCCCCGUCUAAGUGCCCUGGAACGGGCCGUCAUAGAGGGUGAGAAUCCCGUCUGGGACGGGGUGUCCGCGUCCGUGUGAAGCUCCUUCGACGAGUCGAGUUGUUUGGGAAUGCAGCUCUAAAUGGGUGGUAAAUUUCAUCUAAAGCUAAAUACUGGCCGGAGACCGAUAGCGCACAAGUAGAGUGAUCGAAAGAUGAAAAGCACUUUGAAAAGAGAGUUAAAAAGCACGUGAAAUUGUUGAAAGGGAAGCGCUUGCGACCAGACUCGCCCGCGGGGUUCAGCCGGCAUUCGUGCCGGUGUACUUCCCCGCGGGCGGGCCAGCGUCGGUUUGGGCGGCCGGUCAAAGGCCCCCGGAAUGUAGCACCCUUCGGGGUGCCUUAUAGCCGGGGGUGCAAUGCGGCCAGCCUGGACCGAGGAACGCGCUUCGGCACGGACGCUGGCAUAAUGGUCGUAAACGACCCGUCUUGA
rnacentral:rRNA from 1 species